GUCUGUGUAGUGAGAAAGGUUGCUGUGAUAAAACCAUGAAUCCUGGGCUUUACCAAGCUGCAAGAUAUGGUGACACUACCCUCCUAAAUUUAAGAACAAUCCCUGAUAUAGAUCAACAAGCAACGAGACCCAAAUCCAACACAGCCCUUCAUAUUGCUGUGUACCAUGGACAGGACGAGUUCGUGAGAGUUCUCAGCAGUCAGUAUCCAACGCUCCUCACACAGCCAAACUCCGAUGGCGACACUCCAUUGCACGUUGCGGCGAGGACUGUAAAUGAAGAAAUGAGGCUUAUAGCUAGUUUUCUUUUCUCAAAAAUAAGACCUGAAGGUGCAGGUGCAGCUGAGAAGCUGAUGAGAAUGAGAAAUAAGGAUAAUUACAUGGCUUUGCAUGAGGCUGUUCGAAGCAACAAUCUUCAAGUGGCUAAGUUGCUGAUAGAGGCUGACCCUUGUUGGUCAUGUUACGACAAUGAUGCUGACAAGUCUUGUUAUACUUGGCUGCUCAAACGGGAGAUCUAGAAAUGGUACAGUAAUCCUAAAAAAAGCCAGCAGCGUAUGGUGGCCCCAAAGGCGAGAAAGCCUUGUAUGAGGCUGCGGCAAGGAAUCGAUUUGAUAUUGUGGAAGAGCUUACAGAAAAGAAAAUACAAAUCAUCAGAGGGGGAGAUGAACAUGGAAAAACUGGUCUCCACUAUGCAGCAGAAAUUGGCCACUAUGAUAUAAUAGAGAAGUUGAUAUUGAAAUACACAUCUAGUCCUUAUACAUUGGACAAAAAUGGUCACUCUCCACUUCACAUAGCAGCUCGUGAAUUCCAGCCUAAAGUAGUUCAAGAGAUGAUUAAACAUUGCCCAGAUUGUAUUGAGCAACUAAGCCAGGAAGGAGAAUCCAUUCUUCAUUUUGUAGUGAAGAGUGAAAGGUUGAGAAUGGUUAUCUAUGUUGUUGAUAGUUUGGGUCUGGAUAGAUUGAUGAACAAGGCUGAUAUGCAUGGAAAUACACCUUUCCAUAUAUCUACCAAACUCACUAGUUCCAGGAUAUUCUUUUAUUUGGCAUUCGAUGGGAGGCAAGAUAAAGAGGUACUUAACAAGGAAAAUCAGACAGCUUUUCAAAUACAAGAGAAGUAGCCUAGCAACUCCAUAUUUUCCAAGACAUCAAACCUAUGGAUCAAGUGUUUAAGACUACAAAGUUGGCGAGAAUGGUUCAAGAAGGUCGAGACAGAAGAACAAGAUGAUACUACAUCAAUGGUUGGGUCAUACAAGCAAAUGGCCGGCAUUUUGGGGAUAGUUGCAACACUCAUUGCCAUUGCUACCUUUGCAUCUGCUUUAAAAGUUCCUGGUGGGUUCAGUAGUGGAAGUAACUCAACCCAGGGAAUGGCUACUCUUGCAGGAGACCCAAUCUUUGAAGAUUUUAUGAUAGUUGAUACCAUAGCUAUGGGCCUCUCCUUAACAGCUAUGUUUGUCAUACUCUUUGGGACUUACUUUAACAACAAAAAAAUCACCAUUUUCAUGGAAGUUGCCAGAAUCUUGACCUUCUUGUCGUUCCUAUCAAUUGGGAUGGCUUUCAUGGAAGGUGGGGUUGCAGUGUUGCCCAGUGGUUAUCUCAGAAAUCUCAUCACUUGUGGAUAUGGAAUUGCCAUAUGGUGCCCAUAUUUUUUUGCAAUCGUUGGGUUUCUCAUAUUUUUUUACCCAUUAGUGGUUCCUACUGCUUUACUUGCUUACCAAUAUAUGCCCUAUCAUCUUAGACGACUGGAGUGGUAUUCUAAAUUUAUUGGGCAUAUUUGUUGUCUAUACAGAUGAUAUGUAUU